GCGUUGUCGUGCUGUCUCACCCCUCAAGGGCGGUUGCCGGGCGUAAGCCCAGUCUUGGCUCCUUUGAGCCCUGACGGACGGUGGCGGCGGUUUUCCGUCGCUUCUCUUCUUGAAGACGUCGUUUUGGCAACCCCUUGCUGUAGGGCGAUCUCGUAUCGGCGGCCGGUCACGCUUAGCGGCGGCCGGUCCGGUGCUAACCUUCUCCUGUUGUGUGUGUUGGCGCUGCCGCGCCUCAUCUCUCUCCGGUGGUCCCUUCCCCAGCGUCGCCUCUCUCCCCGCGCCUCCCCUCCCCGGUGGCACCGCCUCUCUCCCCGGCGGCGCCGCCUCUCCCCGGCCCAGCCCUCUCUCCCCAGCGCCGGAUCAAGCGGCGGCGGUAGCGGAUCGAGCGACAGCGACGCCUUAUUCUUCUGCCCCACCUACCUCUUCGCCAUCUUCGCCCUUGACACUGGAGCUAGUUGGCCGCAACGUCCCGAGGCCACGGCAUGGGGCGAGGCCUCUCCCAACGCGGCUCCUCACCCGUUCCUCGCCCCACUUUGA
rnacentral:lncRNA from 1 species